GGGCCAGACUUCACACGCUGGGAUAGGCAGACCCUCUACCUCACUGAGGGUCGAAGGCCCGUCGGCUAGCCUCACCUGGUUUGGCCUGUCUGCCGAGACGGUUUACCAGGGUGUGGCCGCUGCGCGUGUUACAGCUACUUGGAGCCACAGCUGGGGCAAAUGGCGGAUACAUUUAUAUGUCAAGAAACAAGAAUAAUCAGUGUGGAAUUGCAUCAGCUGCCAGCUUCCCUACAGAACGUUAAAAUUCUCAACAAAUUGAAGCAAUUGACCUGAGAUCUUCUAAAGAAGUCACGUAUCUUUGAUCCAUUAUUAAUACAACUUAUAAAACAAUGGAAUGAUAUAUAUAGUCCAUUUAUGAAUAGAUUUUGCAAGCUUAAUUUUUUGCAUGUUUUUAUGUUGGGUUGUGAUCCUAAUUCAUUGAAUUUUGGACUAAAUAUAUUUUUGGAAUGUAUUUCUGUGUUGUCAUCUGAUGUUAAGAUGCUCCUCACAUUAUCUGAACAGUCUUUUGGAAUCUGCUUGUCCAGAUAUUGUUGGAAAUGCUGAAAAUCUCUUAUUUUUUCAUAAAACAUAGAAUAGUGCAUUACAGGGACAGGUCCUAUGGCCCACAAUAUUGUGCUGAACCAAUAAAAAUAGGAAUUAAAUGUCUAACUCAUCUCUUCUGCGUAUUAAAGGUCCGUAUUCCUCAAUUUACUGCACUUUUGUAUGAACAUCUAAGAACAUCUUAAAUGCCUUCAUCAUAUUUGCCUCCACCUCUGUCAGCACAUUGCAGGUAUCCACCACUCUGUAAAAGUAAAUUGCCACGUACAUCUCCUUUGAACUUAUCCCCUCUCGCCUUGAACUUAUCUCCUCUCACCUUAAAGGUAUUAGACAUUUCCCCCUCUAUCAUCUUAAAUACAGAACUUCAGCUUAAAUACAGCUAAAAAUCUCAGGCACAUAUAUAUAGCUAGGGUGCCCAAGACUUUUGCUCAGUACUGUAUUUGCCUUUGUGAAGUGGAAAGCCAGUUUGUAAAUCCGGCGGGAGCAACUGAUGUUGGGAAGAGUGUGGGCAAAGCAUCACGGGAAGGGUGUGGUACAGGUUGCAGGGAAGGAGUUCUGGGGUGGGUGGGGGUUAUGUAGGUGCAGACACACCCAGCCCUGAGACACCAGCAAAGGUCAAUUUGCUUAUCAAUCAUUACAGAAUGUUUCUCUGGUACUUCCAGCUCCAUUCCCUCUCCCUUCCCCUUUUCCCAACCGUGAUUCCCCUCUCUCUGCCCCUUUCCCACUCUCAGUCCAUAAUAGAGACUCCUAUUGGAAUAGGUUUAUCACGACCCACAUAUGUCAUGAAAUUUGUUGUUUUUUUGUACAGUGCAAUACAUAAAAUUACUACAGUACUGUACAAAUGUCUUAGACACCCUCAUUAUGUGCCUAAAAAUUUUGUACAGUACUGUACAUGUCCUCUGGUAUUAGUUAUUCAGACCCUCAGUAAAAACUACCUUAUUUACACCUCUCAUAGUGUUCUAAACAUCUAAACUUUACUUCAUUUAUUUGCAGCUGACAUCAGUGCAAU